AGAGAUGUCUUUGUGGCUUAUUCGUUCCAAAGGCCACCGUAAAUGAUGGCUUAUACUGUUCCAAUGAUUGCUUCUGAAAUAAAGUGAAGGCUUUCCCAGUGCAGUGUUAAGACAAGACCCAGGAAGCUGAACAGAUGCUGAAACAAAAUAACCAAGACUGUGGAAAGUAUGAACAGAAAAGCUUGUGUAUUACCAUUCCAAGACUGGGAAUUCUAAAAUCAUGAUUUGGUGCCUAAUAUGGACAUUUCUUGCCCCACUCCACAACAAGAUGGCACAUUCUUGAUGCCAUGACAAAGGACAUUUUAUAAAAGCACUAAUUUCCUCAUGAGCUUACAACUGUCUAAGUUUCUCCUCUUAAACCAGUUACAUUGUGGAUUAAAUUUCAACAUGAAUUGUGAAGAGACACAAAUGUUCAAAUCAUAGGAUAUGUGUGCAAAGGAAGACAUUAAUAUCGUAUACCUCUUAGUAUUGUCAGGAGGCUUCAAUGAGCUCAUGCACACGACGUACCCAGGAUGAUGCAUAGUGAAGCACAGUCAUAAAUGAAAUGACCAGAUUCACAGAACCUUUGGUGUAAAAUUUAAACAAGGUUCAGGGAUAAUUACAGAAGAGAGGACUAAACAUCUUAAGAGCUGGAGAAGCAGGAAGUUUGCUGUGAGAUUGUGUCUCCCAGGCAUGUCAAAGAAGCUAGACCCAUGAAGUCUCAUCAACAUGCAGCCUAACUAUGACCUGAACAAGGAUGAAACCAAAAGAAAUGCUGGCACUGAAGGGAGAGCUAUCAGGAGCCUUAAACCCUAGGCAAGGAACCACAGGCAAUGAAGAAAUACUGAGAACAGAAGUUGUCUUCCCCAGGGAAGAGGACAGCAGUUGGUUAUACAAUACAUAGGCCUGAAAAUAUACAUACAAGUAACAUUACAGACUGAGCAUUUUCUUUGAAAGUUUUUUCCAAGUUGUGUUGAUAAUCCAUUGUCAUAUACUAGACAAUAUUUUCAUCCAGCUUGCUUCUUUGAAAUUUAGGAUAUGCUUGGAGAGUUUUUUUCAUGGCUCCAGACUCCACUCUGUGAAACCCUGUGGAUUUGGAUAUGCCUGGGUGUGUUGGGGGCAGGUAGGUCCAGCCAGCUAGUACUUCUUUGUAGGGUCACUUCCCAAGAGCCUCAUUAGAAGGUCAGUGGCUUGGAACAGAAAGACUAACAUCUUUCUCCAAAAUUAUAGCUGAGAGUUAUUAUGGAACUGACACUUUCUCUUAUUCAAGCAAGCUCCAUUUCAGGUCUGCACAGAUCAUAUCCCAAGGACACAGAGAUUCAAGAUGAGUGAAUCUUGUUAGUGAACAGUGGCUGGACAGGAGGGAUAAUUUUCUAUUGUAGCAGAAUUUGUGUUACUGGAAUUUCUUUUUAGCUUCAGAGACCAAGGGGAGAAAUAAAAGACUUCAGACAGCUGUGCAUUUUAGUCCUGGCACUGCAAUUGAAGACCUGUGCCACUGAGUUUGUUUGCAGAGGAGCAUUUUUAGUCCAUGAUGGAAACUUCUUUCACUGGUAAAAAUGCUUGACAUGUAAGCCUGAAGAACAGAGUUUAGACUCAUUGAAACCCACUGAAGCACCAGGUGGGUGUGGUGGCCAGCCCAUGAUUCCAGCCUUGGAGAGUAGGUAGAGGAUCCCAGAAUCUAGUUAGCCAGCAAGAGAAAUCAUUGCUGUGAGGUCUGGGUUUGACUGGGACAUCCAGCCUCAAUGCAUAAUGUAGAAGAGCAGUGGAAGGUGAUUCUUGACAUCAGCCUUGGGCCUUCAGAUGCACACCCCUCACGUACAUACAUGAUCACAUUCAUGCAAAACAUACAUACACACCCACAUGCACAUACAACCCACACGUGAAAAAUGAAACAAGAAAAAAAAAUGAUCAUAUGGGCUGGGGAAAUGACUUAGUCAGCAAAGCGCUUGCCAUGAAAGUGUGAGGGUUUGAGUUCUAUUUCAGAAUCCAUGUUAAAGAAAAGCUGAGUAGGCCACGGAGAAAGACAAUGCAGCCACUCCUGAUGAGACCUGAUAGACUAGGAUCAGAAGGAAGGAGAG